GAUGAACGCUGGCGGCGUGCCUAAUACAUGCAAGUCGAGCGAACAGACGAGGAUCUUGCUCCUCUGACGUUAGCGGCGGACGGGUGAUUAACACGUGGAUAACCUACCUAUAAGACUGGGAUAACUUCGGGAAACCGGAUCUAAUACCGGAUAAUAUAUUGAACCUCAUGGUUCAAUAGUGAAAGCCGGUUUUGCUGUCACUUAUAGAUGGAUCCUCGCCGCAUUAGCUAGUUGGUAAGGUAACGGCUUACCAAGGCAACGAUGCGUAGCCGACCUGAGAGGGUGAUCGGCCACACUGGAACUGAGACACGGUCCAGACUCCUACGGGAGGCAGCAGUAGGGAAUCUUCCGCAAUGGGCGAAAGCCUGACGGAGCAACGCCGCGUGAGUGAUGAAGGUCUUCGGAUCGUAAAACUCUGUUAUUAGGGAAGAACAAAUGUGUAAGUAACUAUGCACGUCUUGACGGUACCUAAUCAGAAAGCCACGGCUAACUACGUG
rnacentral:rRNA from 1 species